AUAUUUGCGAUGAUAAGGAUAGAGUACAAUUACCCUCUGGACUGAUAGAGAACUUGUGGCAGGUGAAAACAAGUGCCAAGGUAAAUUGGAAUUGGGCUUUGGAGCUGUAGAAGUAUUAAUAAAGUGAUCUUGCAACUACUGCAGGAUAAUUAGGGUGGCACCGCGGUUCAUUCGUCCCUUAC
rnacentral:ncRNA from 1 species